GCCCCGGUGCGGCGGCGGUGGGCGAGGCGAGGCGAGGCGAGGCGGCGCCGGGAGCCUCCACCCCCGGGCCGCCCUGCCCGCGGCUCCUCAUGUGACGCGGGUAAGUCGGCGGCCAGCGCCGCGCUUCCCCCCGCUGCUGCCGCCCCCAUUCAUUUCCCCGCAGCGGCGGCCGGCCGCCGGGGAGAGCCUCUGCCCCGGCCCCCGGGAGAGAAGGGGGGACGGGCGGACGGAGCCUGGCGGACAGACGGACAGACAGAGCCGGGGGGAACCCCGAGUCGGGGGAAGGAGGCGGCUGCUCUGCGGCUCCCGCUCAGUGCUGCGGUCUUCAAGCUUCGGGUCACUGGGUCCACUCCGUGAGCUUCCCGCCACCGCUGGCACCACCUUCCCGGAUGGCCAACCUCCUGGUGUGUUUCUUAAGGAAAUAAGUGUUAUUUGUGUUGUGUAACAGGUCUGUUUGGUUCAAGAUGGGUUUUGACCAAGCCUUUGCUCAACUAAAAGAUACAGACGCCUUAUUCAGGGUCUCGUAUUAAUGAAGCUGGGGAAAUACUCAUUUUCCCUGAAGUAUUCCGUUUGUGGCUUUUGAAGAAUUGUGUCUUGGUUUAUUUUGUUGGGAGAUGGUUGUGGCUUCCCUUUCCUUGACUUAAAUAUAAAGAGAAAUGAAAACCCAAAUUUCUCAAAAUGGAAAUUUCAAUUUUAGAAAAGCUGAGAUGGAUGCGGCACUGAGACUUUGACCUUCUCAGCUCCUGACUGGUGGUUGUUUACUACAGCUGCAGCUGUGUGUCUUUGAAAGAGGAGGAGCUGCAAACACAAGCAUGCUCACUUUCCCCAGCUAACAAGAAAACAUAUAAAGAGGCAUGAUGUUGAAGAGUGAGAUGUAAAGAAAAGUAUUAAGCCGCGUUUGGGUUUUCCUUUACGUUUGUGCAGGGUAUGCUGUGUAUCUGAAAGACGAAUUUGGGGUCUUGAAAGUGCAAACGUGAAAGCAUGAAAUGACUACAUUUCCUAUGCAGUGAAAUUUAUUUUUUUUAAUGAAAAAUAUGCUUAUGGUAGAAAAGAGAAACGCUUUUAUGCUGUAGUACUAAAGACACUUUUAACAGUGUUAGUCAAUCAAAAGCUCCAUGUAACCUUACCCUGUGAGAACGUGCUGUUCAACUACUGAACUUUAGACAGACCUCCUGUUUCAGCUAAAUGAAUUUUUUUCUUAAGUCAGUAGUAAAUGUGAAAAUAAAUGAGCAGCAAGAGUUAUUUUCA
rnacentral:lncRNA from 1 species